CCCCGACGGAGGUGCCGGAGAUCUUUCGGCUACAACGCCGGGCAGGUGGGGCUCGUUAGCCGUGGUAGGCAAUCUGCCUAGGAGAGCAAACUCCGAACAACAAACCCGGGCAGGUUGGGCUCGUGAGCCGUCAUAGGUAAUACACCUAGGAGAGCAAACUCCGAACAAUAAACCCGGGCAGGUUGGGCUCGUGAGCCGUCAUAGGUAAUACACCUAGGAGAGCAAACUCCGAACAAUAAACCCGGGCAGGUGGAGCUCGUCAGCCGUGGUAGGCAAUCUGCCUAGGAGAGCAAACUCCGAACAAUAAACCCGGGCAGGUGGAGCUCGUCAGCCGUGGUAGGCAGUCUGCCUAGGAGAGCAAACUCCGAACAAUAAACCCGGGCAGGUGGAGCUCGUCAGCCGUGGUAGGCAGUCUGCCUAGGAGAGCAAAC